AGUUCGGGCUCGUCGACCUGUCGGGGAGCCCGGAGCCGGGGAACCAUCGGCAGCAGGUCCGCCUGCUGCCAGGGGUGAAUCCCCGUGAAGGCGGCGGCACUCGGGCCGCGCCGGAGCGGGGUAGGGCAAAUGUCGUGCCCGAAUCCGUCAGCUCACCCGGUAGGCGUACGACGUCACAAGGA
rnacentral:sRNA from 2 species